GGGUUGUGAGGUUAAGCGACUAAGCGUACACGGUGGAUGCCCUGGCAGUCAGAGGCGAUGAAGGACGUGCUAAUCUGCGAAAAGCGUCGGUAAGGUGAUAUGAACCGUUACAGCCGGCGAUGUCCGAAUGGGGAAACCCAGUGCAAUUCGUUGCACUAUCGUUUGAUGAAUACAUAGUCAAACGAGGCGAACCGGGGGAACUGAAACAUCUAAGUACCCCGAGGAAAAGAAAUCAACCGAGAUUCCCCCAGUAGCGGCGAGCGAACGGGGAGCAGCCCGGAGUCUGAAUCAGCUUGUGUGUUAGUGGAAGCGUCUGGAAAGUCGCAGGGUACAGGGUGAUACUCCCGUACACUAAAACGCACAGGCUGUGAACUCGAAGAGUAGGGCGGGACACGUGGUAUCCUGUCUGAAUAUGGGGGGACCAUCCUCCAAGGCUAAAUACUCCUGACUGACCGAUAGUGAACCAGUACCGUGAGGGAAAGGCGAAAAGAACCCCGGCGAGGGGAGUGAAAAAGAACCUGAAACCGUGUACGUACAAGCAGUAGGAGCCCACUGGUUGGGUGACUGCGUACCUUUUGUAUAAUGGGUCAGCGACUUAUAUUCUGUAGCAAGGUUAACCGUAUAGGGGAGCCGCAGGGAAACCGAGUCUUAACUGGGCGUUAAGUUGCAGGGUAUAGACCCGAAA
rnacentral:rRNA from 1 species